UAUUAUUACAAAGACAGAAAGGUUGAACUAGACACAGAAAACUCUGAACAAGAGAUAUCAGAAUAAACAACUUCAUCCACACUCUCAAACUGUCCAGACUGGCUCCAUCUCAUUUCCUUCCU